rnacentral:rRNA from 1 species
GGGGAUAAGCCCAGGGAAACCUGGGGUUAAUACCGGAUGAGACGGGACCGCGAUGGCGGGAUCCGGGAAAGGCGCUGCGGCGCCGCCGGGGGAUGGAGUCUGCGUCCCAUUAGCUAGACGGCGGGGUAACGGCCACCGUGGCGACGAUGGGGUAGCCGGCCUGAGAGGGUGGACGGCCACAUUGGAACUGAGACACGGUCCAGACUCCUACGGGAGGCAGCAGCUAAGAAUCUUCCGCAAAUGGGCGAAAGCCUGACGGAGCGACGCCGCGUGAACGAAGAAGGCCGUGAGGUUGUAAAGUUCUUUUCGGGAGGGGGAACAACCGUGGCAGGGAAUGGCCGCGGGAUGACGUGAAUCCCGGAAUAAGCCCCGGCUAACUACGUGCCAGCAGCUGC